AGAAGGGAGCAGGUUGCGCAUGGUCGCUUAGAGGGAUUGCGUUAAACUUUCGUCAUGGUAUGUCUCCCUCUGAUCGAUCGUAGUAGGUGAAAAUACUUAUUCCGGUAGGUUCGUGAAGAUAUUAGCGCGAAACGAUAUUAUGUUCCGCUAUACAUCAAGGAUGUAAGUAGGUCUCGCGGAAAAUACAUCCGACGAAGCAUUAAGGUGCAUGUAGUCCUUUUUUCGAACGGCAAUAAAACUAUUCUUUGUCGCGUAUAGAAUUAUUUUACAUCGGCCGAGCAGUCGCCAUCUUGUCUUUGAGAGAAAGAGAGAGAGAGAGAGAGAGAGAGAGAGAGAAAGAAAGAAAGAAAAAGAAAGAGAGAAACGGGCCGUGGCUGUGGUAUAGAUCGCAUUGUGACAGCUUGGGAAAAGAAGCGUUCGAUAGACGGUCGGUCUUGAUGCGGUGCGCGCGUUCAUCGCGUCGCUUGUGCUCUCUACGAACGUAGAGAGAACGUAUCGUUUAUAGAAGAGAGUAACGAGCUCAAAGAUUGAAAAACGAAAGGAAGACUUUCUGGAAAGUGUGAAGUCGAAGAAAGUGGCAUAGAACGUACUGAAGGUAAUGGCAAUGGAGACGCCAAGAGAACGAGAGAUAGCCGCGGAGGAUAGUAUUAAGGUAGUCUGCAGGUUUCGACCGUUGAAUGACUCUGAGGAAAAGGCUGGCUCAAAGUUUAUUGUCAAGUUCCCAUCAGGUGGAGAAGAGAAUUGCAUCUCGAUUGGGGGAAAAGUAUAUCUUUUUGACAAAGUAUUUAAACCAAAUGCUACUCAAGACAAAGUAUAUAAUGAAGCAGCUAAAUCUAUUGUCACGGAUGUAUUGGCAGGAUAUAACGGUACUAUUUUUGCUUAUGGACAAACAUCAUCAGGAAAAACCCAUACAAUGGAAGGUGUUAUUGGAGAUCCUAAUAAACAGGGUAUCAUUCCAAGGAUUGUUAAUGAUAUUUUCAAUCAUAUUUAUAUUAUGGAGGAGAAUUUAGAGUUCCAUAUUAAAGUAUCUUAUUUUGAAAUUUACAUGGACAAGAUUAGAGAUCUUCUUGAUGUUUCUAAGGUAAACUUAAGUGUGCACGAAGAUAAAAAUCGAGUUCCGUUUGUAAAAGGAGCAACUGAACGAUUUGUGUCUAGUCCAGAAGAAGUUUUUGAAGUAAUUGAAGAAGGAAAGUCUAAUCGACAUAUCGCCGUAACCAAUAUGAAUGAACACAGUUCUCGUUCUCAUUCAGUUUUCUUAAUUAAUGUCAAACAAGAAAAUCUUGAGAAUCAAAAAAAACUUUCAGGAAAGUUAUAUCUCGUUGAUUUGGCUGGUUCAGAAAAGGUGUCUAAAACUGGAGCUGAAGGUACUGUUCUUGAUGAGGCAAAAAAUAUUAACAAGUCUCUAUCUGCUCUUGGUAACGUUAUAUCUGCGCUUGCCGAUGGCAACAAGACGCACAUUCCUUACCGUGAUUCUAAACUGACAAGAAUUUUGCAAGAAUCACUUGGUGGCAAUGCUCGAACUACAAUUAUCAUUUGUUGUUCACCUGCUAGUUUUAACGAGUCAGAAACCAAAUCAACUCUAGAUUUCGGUAAACGUGCGAAGACUAUAAAGAAUGUUGUGUGUGUCAAUGAAGAAUUAACUGCGGAAGAGUGGAAACGCCGUUAUGAACGUGAGAAGGAAAAGGCUGCUAGACUUAAAGGUAAAGUUGAAAAAUUAGAAGCAGAAUUGUCUCGUUGGCGUCAAGGUGAGACAGUAAAGCCCGAAGAACAAGUCAGUUUAGUGGAAGGACCUGAUGUUAUUACACCAAUUACUGCAUCUGUCGAAGGCAAACUUGACGACGGUCCUCUGCCAGCUACACCUGGUGGUGGACUUAUGGCUGGAUCUCUUUCGAAUGAAGAAAGGCAAAAACUAGAGGAAGAACGUGAAAGACUGUAUCAACAGUUAGAUGACAAGGAUGAAGAGAUUAAUCAACAAUCUCAAUAUGUUGAAAAGUUAAAGGAACAAAUGGAAGAACAAGAGGAAUUGAUUGCAAGCGCUAGACGGGACUAUGAACAAUUGCAACAAGAAAUGAAUAGAAUACAACAAGAAAAUGAAAGUGCUAAAGAGGAAGUCAAAGAAGUUCUACAAGCUCUGGAAGAAUUGGCAGUGAAUUAUGAUCAAAAAUCGCAAGAGGUGGAAUUGAAAAAUAAACAACAUGAAAGAUUGACAGAAGAAUUUCUUGCUAAACAAGCGACGUUAAAUAAUAUUGAAUCUGAAUUACAGCAAUUACGUGAUAUGUCCGCUCAUCAGAGAAAACGUAUUGCUGACAUGUUUGCCAAUUUUUUAAAAGAUUUAGGAGAAAUUGGAGUGGCUAUAGGUGGUGAUGAAAAUCUUAAAGUUGCACCAGAAAAUAAUGGUAAAUUGGAAGAAGAAUUUACGGUCGCAAGACUCUUUAUUAGUAAAAUGAAAUCAGAGGUAAAAAAUUUAGUUCAGCGUUGUCAAGGAUUAGAGAGUUCUCAAGUGGAUUGCAACAAGAAAGUUUCUGAAUAUGAAAAAGAUUUGGCAGAAUGUCGACUUCUAAUCAGUCAACAUGAAGCUCGUACGCAAACAUUAUCAGAAUCUAUGAAAGAAUCUGAAGCACGAAAACGUGCCCUGGAAGAAGAUGUGGAUGCGCUACGGGAAGAAUGUGCAAAACUUAAAGCAGCAGAACAGGUGCAAGCAGUCACUAAUAAAGAGAAAGCAGAAGAAAAAGAAGCAGCUACAAAGAUGAAAGUAGCUCUAGAAGAGCAAAUGGAUCAACUGCGUGAUGUACAUCAAAAGCAGGUUGCUGCGCUUAGGGAUGAAUUAUCUGAAAAACAAGAUUUGAUCGGUGAAUUAAGAGAUUUGAAUCAAAAAUUCACUUUAGCGCAUCAACGAAUGCAAGCAGAUUAUGAACGAUUGAAGCAGGAAGAAGUAAAUAAAUCGGUUAAACUCCAAGAAAUGAUACUGCUUCAUGAACGUCGAGAACAAGCUAGAAAAGAGCUUAAAGGACUAGAGGAUACUGUUUGCAAAGAAUUGCAAACACUUCACAAUUUACGUAAAUUAUUCGUUCAAGACUUGCAGACUAGGAUAAAAAAAUCAAUUCACGUCGAGGAUAAUGAGGAUGAUGGUGGUUCACUUGCUCAGAAGCAGAAGAUUUCCUUUUUAGAAAAUAAUCUAGAUCAGCUUACGAAGGUUCACAAACAAUUAGUUAGAGAUAAUGCGGAUCUUCGAUGUGAAUUACCUAAACUUGAAAAGAAAUUAAGGACAACCGUUGAACGUGUAAAAGCUUUGGAAACAGCUUUGCGAGAUGCCAAAGAAGGUGCAAUGCGAGAUCGUAAGCGUUACCAAUAUGAAGUAGAUAGGAUUAAAGAAGCUGUCAGACAGAAAAAUUUGGCUCGCCGUGGACCUAGUGCACAGAUUGCAAAGCCUAUUCGAGCUGGUCAGCAUCAUUUAAGCAACGUUAAUGCUAUUAGAACUGGCAACCGUGAUGCGCUUAAUUAAGAUACUACAAUGUGAUUGGGAAAUGUGGGUUUGUUCGAUUUUGUACAAAUGGAGUCACUUCAGGCUGCUCUACAUUUUGGAAACACGAUCGCAAGAACAAUUUGCGUGCUGAGGUGCUAGGAGAUCGAAACAAACUAAUCUAUGAUGUAUUCACAUAAAUGUUAUAUUUUAAAGGCAAUAGAUGUAUUAUAAUCUUAAAUAGCACCGCCACUUCUUUUUUUUGUAGAAACGAGCAUGUGCUUAAAAGUAUACUAAUAUGAGUGCAUCAAAUUAUUAAUGCGCUGCAUGUCCCAUCCAUGUAUAAAUAUUUAACUCAAUUGCACUUAUAAAAAAUACCGUAAAUAUUCUCAAUACUUUCUCAAUUACAUAACACAAUCUUAUUAAAAUAGCUUCGUUCUUCUGUGACUACAUAGCAUAAUUUUUUUCAAAAACUUAAAAAUAGAAUAAUAAUAAUAAUAAUAAUAAUAAUAAUAAUAAUAAUAAUAAAAAUAAUAGUAAUAAUAAUGAUAAUGAUAAUAAUAAUAAUAAUGACAACAAUAAUACUAUGCGAUUGUUAUCGUUACAACAUCCGGUCUACCAUGGACUUUAUUUGUAAUAUCAAGUGUCAUUAAACUUAUGAUAAAUGCAUUCAAAAUCGAAUGUUUUGGAUGGUACUAUUAAACUUGGAAACAAAAUGUUACUAAUUCAAUUAAAAGAUAUGAUCGGAUAUGCGGCCUUGAAAAGAAUGGUAGAAAUAAUCAUGGCUUAUAAGUAUUCUUAGUUAUAAAAAACUUCCUUUGUAGUUACUGAAGAUUACAAUUGUCAAGAAUCAUAUCAAAUCUUGGACCUAUUUGGUGUGCCCACUUAGCGAGAGUUAAGUGCAUUGGUUUCUUACCAAUAAAAUUGUAAAUCCAGAAGCGAAUGAUAUUUAUAGAAAAAAUAUAGACAAAAAGUAAUCAUCUUCACUUCAAUUUACAUAUAUUACUUUUAUAUAACCAAUUGUCGCCACAUUAAAUACAUUGCUAAUGGUUUCAUUUAUAUUAAUUUAUUUUGUAUUCUAAUUUAUAUUAAAGACAAAUCAAAGCUGUUUGUCAAACAAUUGUUUUACAUUCUGUGCAAAUAUAUUAAAUAUUUAACGUUU